CACCUUUCUGCACUGUGGACUGCUUGUGCACUCUCCUUGAAGCAAUCUGAGCAGAAUGUUAUAUGAAAAAGGAGAGACUGCAUCGUAUUUCUGCCAUGCUGCUUGUCAGACAGAUCCAAAAAGCAAACUCUGACACUAUUGCGCUGUGACAGAAAUCAAGGAGAUCUCUGCAGACCAUAACCACUUGCUGAGGGGAGGUUAAAGUUGCUGAAAAUCCUAUUUGACCUUCUCAAUGGAGUUAAUGAGUCAGAAGACUUCCUGUGGAUAAUCCAAUGAGGUGGAUAAAAAGGUCCUGAACUACUUGGCAUGAAGUCAAUGCCAGAGAAUUCCCUUACCCUCUAAUCCCCACGAGCAGAACAGCACAAUC
rnacentral:lncRNA from 1 species